rnacentral:tRNA from 1 species
CGUUUUUGAGAAGCCCAACGCAAAUACUACAAGUAUUAUAAGGUGUAACGAACCCUCAAAAUCA